CUCGGCAUCCCACCUCCAAGAGGCAUGUCACAUUCAUCUUCCCUCUUCUCCCCAGGGCGCACUCUGGCUCUCAGAGAACCAACUGCUGGUCAGUUAAUGCUCCUGGCGGGUAAUGUGUAAGCCCUGGGGGAGUCAACACAGUGGAUACCAGCUCCGGUUUCUUGUUUUUCAGGCAAUAAAAGAGACAAACAGUGAAUGGUGAAAUCUGGGUUUGAAAAACAGGGUUUGAACAAACCUAUUGAGUCCUUAAGAGGAGAAAUUGUCUAGAGUUACAAAGACUAUAAGAGAGCAUACCUCAUGGAAACUCUUCUGAAUGCUUGCAUAUUUGAGAAUGCCCACACUUUGAGUGGAAGAAAUUCUGCAAAAAUCACCUCACCUCUCUGAUACAGACUUUCCUCAACUAUAAAUGGCAAAUAUUUGGCAUUCAAGAAGCUAUAGUUACUAUUUCCGGAGCUUGAAUGAGUUCCCUGGCUAUAUUAUGUUCAAACAGUAACAAUACCUGCAGAAUUCUGAAAGCUGCUCUUUAGUAGUCAAAGGACAUCUAGAAAUCAAGAUGGGCAAUCCUUAACAAGGUUGGCAUAGGGAGGAAAUGGAAAAUAAAACCUCAACAAAUGGAUGCAAUCCUUCAGAAUGGCUCUCAAAUGGACAGAGAUGAAAAUUGAUCUGGUUACUUGUCAAUUGCAUUAUUCAGAGAUGACAUCAUCAGCAAAGCUAUAGCCAACGCUGGCUCAUUGCCCACCCCAUGACAACCUUUCAUAGAUAAAAAACCUAUUCUGUAAAGAUAUAAGCAUCUCAAGAGCUGUAAUUUGAGC